rnacentral:tRNA from 1 species
GCCGCGGUCGCAUAACCCGGUAUUGCGCUGGAUUGCUAAUUCAGUGCCCGCAAGGGUAUGAGGGUUCAAAUCCCUCCCGCGGCG